AAAAAUUUCAAGACUUCAAAAUAUAACAACUAUUAAUUAAUUAAAAGUCUAAAAAUUUCAAAUAGUUUUUAUUACCAAUAUGCUACUUUCAUUUUGAGGUUUUCAUCAUAUGUUUUCAUUGUAACCCGUAGCGAUUCCAGGAAAACAAGACCCUCGAGCCGUAAUUCCGAGUAAUGCAACAUCUCACGUGCUCAUAAUUGUCGGCGAUUGUUUAUGAGCGCCUUUGGGCUUACUGAGAAAACUAUUUCAUAUAAAAAUGGAUGGUUUCUUUGAAGUGAAAUUUAUAGUCCGUAUCCUGUAUUUUAUAACGUUUUUUGCGAUGUUUAAAGUCGAGGCUGUUACAAUUGAGUGCAUCAAGUCUGACGAGUGUUCAUGUAAAACAAACACUACUACACAGCAAGAAAUAUCGUUGUGGCCCAUUUCAAGGUAUGUUAUGUACACACAUAGUCAUAGAAUGCAAAAUAUGUUUUAUAAAACUUGUGUUUUGUAUAACUAUACCGUAAAUAACUGAGUAAUUGACUACUAAUCUCCCAUUUUAAACCCACUUGAUGUCCAUAUGCUUCAG